rnacentral:rRNA from 1 species
UACAGAGGUCCCAAGCGUUGUUCGGAUUCACUGGGCGUAAAGGGCGCGCAGGCGGCUCUUCAAGUCAGGCGUGAAAGCCCCGGGCUCAACCUGGGAAUGGCGCAUGGGACUGGCGGGCUAGAGUUCGGGAGAGGAGCGUGGAAUUCCCAGUGUAGAGGUGAAAUUCGUAGAUAUUGGGAAGAACACCGGUGGCGAAGGCGGCGCUCUGGACCGAGACUGACGCUGAGGCGCGAAAGCGUGGGGAGCAAACAGG